UGCGCCGUUCAUGGGGAGUAGCCGGUUUCUAUUCGUUAUAUUGAAUUCGUUAUAUUGAAUUGAUAUAUCGAGAUAUAGAGACGCUCGUAUCAACAUACUCGUUUCAUUUAUUGGAACGUGGUGCGGGCAGCCAGGUAAGGUUGGCGAGACCAUAGACACGUAG
rnacentral:misc_RNA from 4 species